GACGAACGCUGGCGGCGUGCUUAACACAUGCAAGUCGAACGCUGAAGCCUGGCUUUUGUUGGGUGGAUGAGUGGCGAACGGGUGAGUAACACGUGAGUAACCUGCCCUCUUCUUUGGGAUAACGCCCGGAAACGGGUGCUAAUACUGGAUAUUCACUUGCCUUCGCAUGGGGGUGGGUGGAAAGGGUUUUUUCUGGUGGGGGAUGGGCUCGCGGCCUAUCAGCUUGUUGGUGGGGUGAUGGCUUACCAAGGCUUUGACGGGUAGCCGGCCUGAGAGGGUGACCGGCCACAUUGGGACUGAGAUACGGCCCAGACUCCUACGGGAGGCAGCAGUGGGGAAUAUUGCACAAUGGGCGCAAGCCUGAUGCAGCGACGCCGCGUGAGGGAUGGAGGCCUUCGGGUUGUGAACCUCUUUCGCUCAUGGUCAAGCCGCAACUCAUGGUUGUGGUGAGGGUAGUGGGUAAAGAAGCGCCGGCUAACUACGUGCCAGCAGCCGCGGUAAUACGUAGGGCGCGAGCGUUGUCCGGAAUUAUUGGGCGUAAAGGGCUUGUAGGCGGUUGGUCGCGUCUGCCGUGAAAUCCUCUGGCUUAACUGGGGGCGUGCGGUGGGUACGGGCUGGCUUGAGUGCGGUAGGGGAGACUGGAACUCCUGGUGUAGCGGUGGAAUGCGCAGAUAUCAGGAAGAACACCGGUGGCGAAGGCGGGUCUCUGGGCCGUUACUGACGCUGAGGAGCGAAAGCGUGGGGAGCGAACAGG
rnacentral:rRNA from 1 species